GUUGGGUACGCCGUUUUCUCUAUGCCUUGAUUGGGGCUUUUAUUCGGAAAUUAUUGUUGCGCAACACUGCUAUUGAGUCAUUCUGUUUAGCUAAACCGCAGGAAGCUGUUAGAGCACAUGGCUUGUUAGAUGGUGAUGAUAGAUCUUUUAACGCUUUUCCUGGGAAACCAUUUGUCUGCAAGUAAAUGUAACCCAUAGAGAAAUAAGGGCUACUAUGCUGUAGUUUUACUCCCAACCAUAGGGGGCGUUGGAGGCUGACUCGAUUAGAGCCUUGGUUAUCAGCUUUUCCCCCCUUUUUGUUUUUUCUUCUCCUCGUGAAUGCCAGCAGAAAUACCCCUUCUAGAAUGAUAAAACCAGCAGAAAUACCCCUUCUAGAAUGAUAAAACCAGCAGAAAUACCCCUUCUAGAAUGAUAAAACCAGCAGAAAUACCCCUUCUAGAUUAAUAAAACCAGCAGAAAUACCCCUUCUAGAUUAAUAAAACCAGCAGAAAUACCCCUUCUAGAAUUAUAAAACCAGCAGAAAUACCCCUUCUAGAAUUAUAAAACCGGCAGAAAUACCCCUUCUAGAAUGAUAAAACCAGCAGAAAUACCCCUUCUAGAAUUAUAAAACCAGCAGAAAUAACACUUCUAGAAUUAUAAAACCAGCAGAAAUACCCCUUCCAGAAUUAUAAAACCAGCAGAAAUAACACUUCCAGAAUUAUAAAACCAGCAGAAAUAACACUUCCAGAAUUAUAAAACCAGCAGAAAUAACACUUCUAGAAUUAUAAAACCAGCAGAAAUAACACUUCUAGAAUUAUAAAACCAGCAGAAAUAACACUUCUAGAAUUAUAAAACCAGCAGGAAGCAGAGGAAAUAAUUCCAAUUAAAAACAAUUAAAACUCCGAUUGUUGUUUUUUUGAGUACUAGAAAGUCUGGAUGAACCGAGAUGGCGAGCCUAGCCCAGCGAGACUGGUAGACGAUCUUAACGGAGUGGCCAGCCGUUGAUUUGUCACCAGAGGAAUCCUGAUUUACGUCGAGCGUGCCAGUUAAGGCAUUAUUCACACACAGUAGUGUUACACCAAGUGCACUUGAGGACAAGGACAUUUAUGCUUACUGAAAUACACAUUCACAGGUCUUUGGAUCCACAUUCCACAUUCACUUACAGAACCAAAUGAACAUUUAAGGGGAAUUUACUUUAUGAUUUUAUUAUUUUAAAGAGCUCUUCCUUUUUUUGUUUUAACAUUAUUGUGCCAUUUAUUUUGCACUGUUGUAAGAAAGCAAUAAAAUUGUCAGCUGUUCAACUCAA